AUUGCUGAACUCUUCAUCUCCGAAAAUAAUUACGGCAAGGCCCUGCAGUUCAUUCAGGCUGAGAAGAUGUUCUACGAGGUUUCUCUAAUUGAGCUCACUGCUGUUCAGGGGAGCACAGGCAAGUAUAUUUACAUCUGUAAAAUGGGGGCAUUAAGGUGGCAUCCACAAGUGCAGCUUCUCACCAUCUGACAACUAUGUCAGAAGGGGACCAUCGUCAGUAGCAUUUUGUCGUGGCUCUGGGUUGGCCACCCACUCAUUGCCCACCAUUGUGCAUCGGUACAAGGAGUGACGAAGGAUGCCGUUUAAGUACUAUGAGGGUGGUUGAUGAAGCAAUUGGACUCAGGUGAGUGAGGCAGGCUUUUGGCUAAUGAAGAUUGGAUGCAGGUGAGCAAAUUGGCAUGGGUACUGCUCUACCAUAUAUGGAUUUCCUUGCCGCGCUGCCGCCUUCCAUUGUGGAUGUCUGGACCCAUAUAUGGAGUUCCUGCUACAGGGCCGCAUUCCAAUAUGAAUUAUCGUUAUCCAUGUAUGGAAUUCUGCAUUCCAAUAUGAGAAGUCUGAGUCCAUAUAUGGAGUUCCUGCUCUGCUCCAAGGCUGCAUUCCAAUACAGAAGAACAAGCACAUGUAUGGAAGUUCCUGUUGUGGAUUAGGCCCCCAGAAGGAGGCUUUGCUGGGCUCGUCUGGGACAGGAUGGGCAUCCCCAGAGGAGCUAUCGGAUCAGGCCUCCCAGGCACAGCAUUUUGAGCGGCUGGCCCAGCUUUGCAUCAUGAGUAAAAGACCUCAUCUCGCUUUAGAGUACAGUGGGAAAGCCACUAAGAUCCAUCAGAGGGCCUUUGGCAGCGACCACCCCGUCACAGACAAGAGUCUGGAGCUGCUGGCCACCGUCUACGCAGAAAUUGGCAAAACAGAAUACUCAGAUUCCCUAGGCCAGUGUGUGUCAGCGCUUUCCAAGAGGUUUGCUACUGCCGAGUCCUUCAGAGACACACUCAACAACGGUCUUUCCCAUUCCCAUUCCCACCGGGAUAAACGCUCUGAGGUCCGGCACAGGAAAGACCCCCGCCCACUGUUGGACACACCAAAACCCAAGGUCACCAACGGUAAAAUCCCCAUGUCCAUACUGAAGAGAUCUGGCUCAGGAUCAGACUCAGAGCCCAGCCACAGACGGAAAGGCGAGCGGCGGGUCCGGUUCAGGGAGCCUGAAACCACUGUGCAUGCCUAUGACACAUCACCGCCCAGCCCCCACCUGGCCCUGUUCACUUGCCUGUUCCUGCUGAUGUCACUGCUGGGCGUGGCCAUGUUCUGCACGGACCGCCGGCGCCCACAGCGUGUCUGUGAGGAGCUGGAGGCCUCGCUGGCUGUCUACCUGAUACACAUAAAACAGCUGCUGUGGGGCUGCUGGAUCUGGCUAACCAUGCAGUGA
rnacentral:lncRNA from 1 species